CUACCUCUCUUCGUUCGGUUUCUUCCUCUUCGUCGUUCUCUUUCAUCCUUUCCUUCAUUGUUCAUUGGAGAUUUGCGUUUCUGAAUUAUUGAUUGGAUCUUUGAAUUGGAGAUAAGAGAAAUUGGUGAAUCGUGUUUCUGAAAUUGGCGAGAAGAACAAGGUUAUUUGUAUGUUUCUGAUGUGGGGUUUCGAAUUGAUUUCAGUUCUUGUCUACCCAAAUCGAAUUUGUUUGGUGGGUUAAAUUUCCCCCUCUGCAAAAUAUCCUAUUUUGGACAAGGUGUUGCUGGUCUGCUGUGUGCAUGCGGUUUUUCAGCUGCAGUUUGGGUUGUUGCCACUUUUUACAAGCUUCUUAUAUGUUGUUGCAUGUGUUGCUGUUGUAUAGUUGUUUUGCAGUCUUCUCCUGGUAAAGUUUGAUGGCCUGACUGCUUCUCCACAGAGACUGCGGGUAAACUUCCAUCCAAGAAGUCUUCCAAGAGAACUAAAAUCAAGGAUGAAAGUCAUGAUCAAUUUGACAAGAAGCAAAAGCAGUUUCUAAGCCAAUGUCUGCUAUAGCGUCGCCAAGGUAGUACAUCAUCACUAGCUGCUGAUCUGCAAAAUGCUACUUCUGCAGGUUCUGAAAUGGCUAAUACUGGUAAUGAUUUUGGAACCAACAAGCAGUUCAAUCUGAUACUGCAAGUUUAAUAAACUUCUUUUGUGCAUUCUGUCAGAGUUGGAAGAUAUCAAAGGUAACCCAUUUUGAUACAAAUAUGUAACCUUAGCAGCUGGGUUCUUGAAAUAAUUAAUGUGUAACUAAGUCAUAGAUUGAUUUAACCAUUACUCUAGGGACGAGGUUGCGGUAGCCAGCCUUUCCAGGAUAGGGAGACACCAGUAACGUCUUUCUCCUCCAGAUUUACAUUUGACUUGGCAGAACAUUUAACCUUAGCAGAUGCAACUUUUUUCAUGGAUUUAGUUUUUUCUUCACUAACAACUCUUCCUGCUAUUUCAUUCGUCUGAGUGAUGUUUAUAGUGUCAUUUCUGACAUUUCUUCAGCCGA